rnacentral:rRNA from 1 species
UACAGAGGUCUCAAGCGUUGUUCGGAUUCAUUGGGCGUAAAGGGCGCGUAGGCUGCGGGGCAAGUCGGGUGUGAAAUCUCAGAGCUCAACUCUGAAACUGCACUCGAUACUGCUUUGCUCGAGGACUGGAGAGGAGAUUGGAAUUCACGGUGUAGCAGUGAAAUGCGUAGAUAUCGUGAGGAAGACCAGUGGCGAAGGCGGGUCUCUGGACAGUUCCUGACACUGAGACACGAAGGCCAGGGGAGCAAACGGG